AAGAACCGGAUUUAAACAUAUAAAGUUGUUUAUUUUUCAACACACGUUUUACUACUAUUGGUAAACCAAACUGGGGGCUCAACCGGGAUAACAGAAAAAAUUAAUUACCCUUAAUGAAGGAGGUUUGUUUGAAAUUAUGUGUUAGUUUUUAAUACACGUUCUUUCUACUAUAGGUAAACCCAAUUGGGGGCUCGACCGGGAUAACAGAAAAAAUUUAUUACCCUUAACAUAUAAAGUUUUUUUCAUAAAAAAAAAGUGUAUGUAAGGAGGCAUAAGACUGUUUAACAGGCAAAUGUUACGGCAAAAGUUGCGCUGGCCCGAGUCAGCACUCUUAAGCCGGUAAAAACAGGAAACUGCAGUGCAGCUGGCAGCGGAUGACUUCAGGGAGUGUAGCUUUCCACCGGCC